GCCGGGCGGCGUCCUCCCGAGCUCCGCGCCCUGAUUGGCCGCCCGGGCCGCGCGCUGAUUGGCUGCGGCGGAUGCCUCGCGGGCCGGUGGUUAUGGAGGCGGCGGCGGUUGAUGGUUGACUGUUGGCUGCAGGGUAGGGGUCGCCGUUCGGGCGAGCCGCUCAGACCCGACCAGAGGGCGCGCGUAGCUGACGCUCGCCUCGAGUGUGGGGGCACCGGCGGGUUCGGCUCCGCGAUGCCGGCCGGGAGCAACGAGCCGGACGGCGUCCUCAGCUAUCAGAGACCAGAUGAAGAAGCUGUGGUGGAUCAGGGUGGGACCAGUACAAUUCUCAACAUUCAUUAUGAAAAAGAAGAGUUGGAAGCUUGAGGCACUAUUGUUCCUGAUUCAGUUGUCCUCCAGUGAGUGCCCAAUGGAGCUUUAUGAGCACUCUUGUCUACAUAGAAGUAGAAUACUAAGCUGGAGUUGGCUGUCUUGGAUCCUGAGGUCUGGGUUCCAUCCACAGAGAUCAGCUGAGUACUGCAGCAGGAGCAACUUCUCAGGAUGACAUCAUCUGUUCCUUAUGUGCUCUCUAAUUUGCUAUAAAAGAAAGCCACCUAUGGUGAUGGUGUUACUUGGGGAGAAUGUGUUGAGAAAUGAUCUUUCAUACAUAGAUGUUUUUGAAAACAAGAAUCUUAAUUGUAUGAGUCCUUUUUAUAAAGUGCUACAGGCAAAUGGAGGACAAAUGGCAUCCAUUCCACAGACCUCAUGUAGUUCUUGAGCAGCUCUGAGAUGAAAGGAAGGAGUUUGGAUUUGCUGUAGGGUUGGUUGUACUGUGUGGUCCCACCCUGAUUCACUGCAAAGGGCAGCCCUAGGACAUAGUGAGGCUGCACUGUGGGUGGGUGACAUCUCUUGAUGAUGUAGAAUAAAAUCAGAAGACGGAACUAAAUUGUGCUCUGAAUCGAUACACAUGUCAUGAUACAAGGUUCCACGGUUGGAGAAAAAUCUCCUGGUCUUCCUUUGCCUUUCUUCCAUGCCCUCUAGUCUACAUGACAUAAGGCAUUCCUUUACUCCAUAUUCAGAACUACUUCUGAUAAUAUCUGCAUGUUAUUAGAAACUUUUGUAAAUGUGGAUAUUUCUGCAUCCAUCAGUGCUAUCAGAAAGUGCAUUAAACCAUGAUGUUGCUUUUCUUAUAUAUGGAAAGAGAAAACUCACACCAGAGAGCUUUCCAAAGACAUCCCCAAAAGGGCAAUAAUAGUGCAUGAUGUUCUUCCACAGACUCUCUCAAUCCCAGAGGAAUGGGGUACAGUUGCUUUAGUUAGAGGAAUGGCUUUUUCCAUUUUUCCUGGCAGAUCAUUAUUCCUGCUUAAACUACUAGAUUUAUGACUCCCGGAGUAAGCUUAAUGCCUUCUAAUUAGUUUUACUAGAA
rnacentral:lncRNA from 1 species